rnacentral:lncRNA from 1 species
UUGCGAUAAACAUUUGUUUCGCAAUAUGUCGCUUAGAUAUUUGGUAUAUGAUAUCGAACAGUUUAUGCGCUUUUGAAAUUUACCCUGCGUAACCGAAUACUUUUCUUUGUAGGAGUUAUCUCCCCAAACACUGUUUUCCUUGUGCUCACAACUCCUUCGCAACCGUAAAAGAUUACGACAAAUUUAUUUUAUAAAAUUGCUCGUUAUAUCCUUCACAUGAUUUUGUCCUAAUUUUCGACCGAAGCAAUAUGAACGCUCCAUAUGAGAGUUAUUUCCCCUUUUGUAUCUGAAAUUUUGAAAUGUAUUUAAAACUGGAACACCAUAAGUGAUAGAGACCUAGGAUCUUUUGAUUUGAGGUCCUUGGUCCAAAAAAAUGAAAAUUAGGUCAAGGUCAAAGGUCAAGGUCAUAUUCUAAUUAUUGAAUUAGGCUUAUUUCCACUCAUUUCCAGAAACCGUAUAAGAUAUCGACAAAUUAUUUUGACUAAAUUGUUAGUUGCGACAUGUCGUAACUUAAUAAUUUUAGUUGAAAGGGUGCGUAGACAAUGAAUGGGAGUUUUUGCCCCUAUCAUAUCUAAAAUUAUGUGUAAAGUGAUAUAACUUAUUAACUAUACAUAUUAGAGACCUAGGGUCUUUUGAUUUGAGAUCCUCAGUUUGUGGCCUUGAAAUUGAGUUCAAGGUCAUAGGUUAAUUUGACGUUCUAGAUUUUGACCUUUGCUUUAAAUUCAUAUCUAUAUAUCAUAAAGCCAUAUGAACUGACAUUUUAGACUGAUUUUUAAUAUUUUAAUAUCAAAAUAGAUAUUAACUGGUGGAAAGACCUUCAAUUGUUCUCUGAACAAUUGGUUUUUAAUUUUUUUUUUUUCUUCCGCCUAAUUUUGUUCUUGCGAUAAACAUUUGUUUCGCAAUAUGUCGCUUAGAUAUUUGGUAUAUGAUAUCGAACAGUUUAUGCGCUUUUGAAAUUUACCCUGCGUAAACGAAUACUUUUCUUUGUAGGAGUUAUCUCCCCAAACACUGUUUUCCUUGUUAGCGCAUCUCCUUCGCAACCGUAAAAUAUUAUGACAAAUUUAUUUUACAAAAUUGCUCGUUAUAUCCUUCGCAUGAUUUGUCCUAUUUUGACCGAAGUGAUAUGAACGCUCCAUAUGAGAGUUAUUUCCCCUUAUGCAUUUGAUAUAAGUGAUAUGCAUUUCUAUCUUGUAAACCAUAAGUGCUAAAGACCAAGGAUUUUUUGAUUUGAAGUCCUUGGUCCAAAAAAAU